rnacentral:rRNA from 1 species
UACCUGCAGCCCGAGUGGUGGCCGUUAUUAUUGGGCCUAAACCGUCCGUAGCCGGCUGAGUAGAUGCCUGUGUAAAUCGCACGGCUUAACCGUUCGAACUGCGGGUAGACCGCUCAGCUUGGGACCGGGAGAGUCACGAAGUACUCCGGGGGUAGAGGUGAAAUUCUGCAAUCCUCGGGGGACUACCGGUGGCGAAGGCGGGUCUCUGGGCCGAUACUGACGCUGAGGAGCGAAAGCGUGGGGAGCGAACAGG